AUUGAACGCUGGCGGCAUGCCUUACACAUGCAAGUCGAACGGGGGUAGCAAUACCCUAGUGGCGAACGGGUGAGUAAUGCAUCGGAACGUACCUCGUAGUGGGGGAUAGCCCGGCGAAAGCCGGAUUAAUACCGCAUACGUCCUGAGGCAGAAAGUGGGGGAUCGCAAGACCUCACGCUAUGAGAGCGGCCGAUGUCGGAUUAGCUAGUUGGUAGGGUAAAAGCCUACCAAGGCGACGAUCCGUAGCGGGUCUGAGAGGAUGAUCCGCCACACUGGGACUGAGACACGGCCCAGACUCCUACGGUAGGCAGCAGUGGGGAAUUUUGGACAAUGGGGGAAACCCUGAUCCAGCCAUGCCGCGUGAGUGAAGAAGGCCUUCGGGUUGUAAAGCUCUUUCGGGCGGAAAGAAAUCGCACAGGCUAAUACCUUGUGUGGAUGACGGUACCGCAAGAAGAAGCACCGGCUAACUACGUGCCAGCCGCCGCGGUAACAC
rnacentral:rRNA from 1 species